rnacentral:rRNA from 1 species
UACGUAGGGGGCAAACGUUAUCCGGAUUUACUGGGUGUAAAGGGAGCGUAGACGGUGAUGUAAGUCAGAUGUGAAAGCCCAGGGCUCAACCCUGGGACUGCAUUUGAAACUAUGUCGCUAGAGUUGCAGGAGAGGUAAGUGGAAUUCCUAGUGUAGCGGUGAAAUGCGUAGAUAUUAGGAGGAACACCAGUGGCGAAGGCGGACUUACUGGACUGUAACUGACGUUGAGGCUCGAAAGCGUGGGGAGCGA